ensembl:lncRNA
GCACAAUGUUAAACUAUAAUACUCUGUGCAACCCACUGUAAUGAAAUUGGAUUGGGUAGGAGUAAUCUGUAAUUUUGAACAAUCUGUACACGUGACAGCAGCUUUCUACUGACUGAAAGAUAAAAGAGCUGCUAACAGGAGGCCUGGUUGUGAUAACAAGCAGAAAACUUUGGGUUUUUGGAUCACAUCACUUAUUUUUUCUUUUUCACUAGCAGCCCGAGUCAUCUACGAGGUUCCCCACGUAGACUCCGAGAUGGCAGAUGCAGACAAAGACAGCACAAGCUCCUCCAGAGGCUCGUCUCAGUGGCGGCAAGUGCCUCUGUAUGAAUCCUUCUACUUCGAGCAUGUGGAUCCCAAAGAAAGUAAAUGAGUGUCGGCUCCAGAGUUUUCUUGUGUACUUUCUGUCCUGUAUAUAGCAUAUUUUUCUUACAUUUUUGCAUGAUUGCAAAAACCCCCAUAUGUGGUUGUAAAUAUGUAUGUAUUUUUCUAUAAACUACAUCUUAAUUAAAAUUAAUUUCAGUGAUGGGGUGUUAGUCCCAUAAAGCCUGAAUCACAAAAUAAUAAUAUGUUUAUGUGUUUAUUUAACCUUCUGACAAAUAAAAAAAUAAAAUAAAUGAUGAAUUUGCAUAGUUUUUAAUUUGUGGCAUCUUUGCUAUAUUCAGGAUUUUUGUGUAAUUUCUUGCUUAAAAAUGUUUUGUGCAAUUUAUUUCGGUAUUUCAGGGGGAAAAUCACUCUGAUCAUGCAGACAUCAUAUAGGAUACACCCAAAAUCACAGGGUUAUACACUGAUAAUGGUACCAGGCAGAAUUUGAUCGGGCUAAAACACGAUCAGCAACAGUGAGGGUUAAAAAUGCGACACUGAACACGCAGGUUUUGUAAUGAUUACAGCUUACGAUUAGGAUGCUGAAUGGAAAGUGUGGUGUUCAGGGGUGACUGUAUAGUAGGUCAGUGACAGGAAGUGG